GAUGAACGCUAGCGGCAGGCUUAACACAUGCAAGUCGAGGGGCAGCACAGGUGGCAACACCGGGUGGCGACCGGCGUAAGGGUGCGUAACACGUGAGCAACAUACCCGUAUCAGGAGGAUAACCGGAGGAAACUCUGCCUAAUACUCCAUAAUAUCACUGGACGGCAUCGUUUAAUGAUUAAAGAUUCAUCGGAAACGGCUUGGCUCGCGGGACAUUAGCUCGUUGGUGAGGUAACGGCUCACCAAGGCGACGAUGUCUAGGGGUUCUGAGAGGAAGGUCCCCCACACUGGAACUGAGACACGGUCCAGACUCCUACGGGAGGCAGCAGUGAGGAAUAUUGGACAAUGGUCGGAAGACUGAUCCAGCCAUGCCGCGUGAAGGUUACUGUCCUAUGGAUAUUAAACUUCUUUGUAUGAGAGCAAUAAGGUGCACGUGUGCACCGAUGAGAGUACCAUACGAAUAAGCAUCGGCUAACUCCGUG
rnacentral:rRNA from 1 species